AGUUGAGUUCAGAACUCAACCAGUUUGUACUCUUCUUAUCUUCCUUUUCCGUGCGAGCAUGGCCAGACCGGCGUCCUCCGUUCGCGGCAGCUCGGUCGUCGGCGACAGGCCUUCGACGCAUCUCGGAGAUGCGCACCACCAGAUCUCUGCCGCCUUGCGGAAGAAACUUUCAAGUUCGAGGAUGGUCCUGUUGAUUGGUCUGGUUUCGAUUCCCUAUAGACGGAUGGAGAAGAAACUGAAUCGAGAAAAGAAGAGGCGGAGGCCGACGGAGAGAAGAAGCUGAGGCUGCGAGGGUGAGAGUUUGUGGAUCUGACUGCCCCUUAGCCGUCAGAUUAAGCUUGAGCCACGCCCAACCGUUCGAUUACGCCUAAUCAACGGGUAACUGUUCGAUGCGCUCAGCCCUCCGAUUAAAUCCGAGCAUUCCAGCUCCGUCUUGUGGUGAGCACCACCUGAUCGCUACCAAGUUGGGCUUUGGGCUUAUGGGUUAUAUAUGGUGACUCUAUUGCGAUCACACCCCCACUCUCUACUUCGUCGCGCUCCCACCCUAAAACCCUAGAAAAGUUUAAGCUUCAUCCAUGGCGUCACUGCAGAAUUUGGAGUCCUCCAUGCUAUCAUCCAUGGCUUCUGUACUACAAUCCAAGCAGAGGUAUGAGAGUUUCGAAACUGAUCUCGAAUCAUCAUGUCAAACUUUUUGAUCUAGUAUCUGAGAACUUAACACUAGGUUCGAUGAGAUUCGGACUCAGUUUGACAGAGACUUGGAUGCAUUUCUGAAUCAUUCAAAAGCGUAUCACAAUGAGCUUAAUGUUUACAAUGACAGAGCUGAGAGCAAACGCUUAAGUUCUGAUGGCAAUGAGGCAAUCCACUUUGAAGAGUAUUCUAAACUCUUCAAAAGUUAUCAGGAGGUAUUUGAGGAGUAUAAGUCUACAUUCUUGUCCUCAAAGGACUUCUAUCUGAAGUUGGAUGCAGUUGUCAACAAGCUUGCUAGAAACUACUGGCCUCAGGGCAAUGUUGGUCUCUAGGUAUGUAAUUUGUUCAGUUUGUUUUUUGAAUUGUUUGGUUUAUUGCUAUUAUGCUUUAUACAUUGGGUUUUGUUGAUAGUAUAGGGCCUUUGUUAAUUUUUCUUUUCUUGUCCGUAGUUGUUUCUUGUUGUUGUUGUUGUAUGUGCUAUUGUGUUUGGCUUUGCGUGAGUUAUGAUUCCCCAAGGCCCUGUUUGGUCUUGGCCCCUGAAUGUCAUUCUUUGUGUAUUCUUGUGUAACCUAGUAAGACUGAGGUUGCUUAUUCACUGAACCAACAAGUCCAUAAAAGGAGAGAUGUGGAG